GUGAUGAAGGCCUUCGGGUCGUAAAGCUCUGUCCUCAAGGAAGAUAAUGACGGUACUUGAGGAGGAAGCCCCGGCUAACUACGUGCCAGCAGCCGCGGUAAGACGUAGGGGGCUAGCGUUAUCCGGAGUUACUGGGCGUAAAGGGUGCGUAGGCGGUCUUUCAAGUCAGGAGUGAAAGGCUACGGCUCAACCGUAGUAAGCUCUUGAAACUGGGAGACUUGAGUGCAGG
rnacentral:rRNA from 1 species